AGUGAACGCUGGCGGUAGGCCUAACACAUGCAAGUCGAACGGCAGCACAGUAAGAGCUUGCUCUUACGGGUGGCGAGUGGCGGACGGGUGAGGAAUACAUCGGAAUCUACUUUUUCGUGGGGGAUAACGUAGGGAAACUUACGCUAAUACCGCAUACGACCUACGGGUGAAAGCAGGGGAUCUUCGGACCUUGCGCGAUUGAAUGAGCCGAUGUCGGAUUAGCUAGUUGGCGGGGUAAAGGCCCACCAAGGCGACGAUCCGUAGCUGGCCUGAGAGGAUGAUAGGCCACACUGGAACUGAGACACGGUCCAGACUCCUAAGGGAGGCAGCAGUGGGGAAUAUUGGACAAUGGGGGCAAGCAUGAUCCAGCCAUACCGCGUGGGUGAAGAAGGCCUUCGGGUUGUAAAGACCUUUUGUUGGGAAAGAAAAGCAGCAGGUUAAUACCCCGCUGUUCUGACGGUACCCAAAGAAUAAGCACCGGCUAACUUCGUG
rnacentral:rRNA from 1 species